UACGUAGGGGGCGAGCGUUGUCCGGAUUUAUUGGGCGUAAAGAGCUCGUAGGCGGCUCAGCAAGUCAGGUGUGAAAACUCCAGGCUCAACCUGGAGACGCCACCUGAUACUGCUGUGGCUAGAGUCCGGUAGGGGAGCAUGGAAUUCCUGGUGUAGCGGUGAAAUGCGCAGAUAUCAGGAGGAACACCAGUGGCGAAGGCGGUGCUCUGGGCCGGAACUGACGCUGAGGAGCGAAAGCGUGGGGAGCGAACAGG
rnacentral:rRNA from 1 species